rnacentral:rRNA from 1 species
GGUAACAUUUCUAGCUUGCUAGACGAUGACGAGUGGCGGACGGGUGAGUAAUGCUUGGGAACUUGCCUUUGCGAGGGGGAUAACAGUUGGAAACGACUGCUAAUACCGCAUAAUGUCUUCGGACCAAACGGGGCUUCGGCUCCGGCGCAAAGAGAGGCCCAAGUGAGAUUAGCUAGUUGGUAAGGUAACGGCUUACCAAGGCGACGAUCUCUAGCUGUUCUGAGAGGAAGAUCAGCCACACUGGGACUGAGACACGGCCCAGACUCCUACGGGAGGCAGCAGUGGGGAAUAUUGCACAAUGGGGGAAACCCUGAUGCAGCCAUGCCGCGUGUGUGAAGAAGGCCUUCGGGUUGUAAAGCACUUUCAGUUGUGAGGAAAAGUUAGUAGUUAAUACCUGCUAGCCGUGACGUUAACAACAGAAGAAGCACCGGCUAACUCCGUGCCAGCAGCCGCGGUAAUACGGAGGGUGCGAGCGUUAAUCGGAAUUACUGGGCGUAAAGCGCACGCAGGCGGUUUGUUAAGCUAGAUGUGAAAGCCCCGGGCUCAACCUGGGAUGGUCAUUUAGAACUGGCAGACUAGAGUCUUGGAGAGGGGAGUGGAAUUCCAGGUGUAGCGGUGAAAUGCGUAGAUAUCUGGAGGAACAUCAGUGGCGAAGGCGACUCCCUGGCCAAAGACUGACGCUCAUGUGCGAAAGUGUGGGUAGCGAACAGGAUUAGAUACCCUGGUAGUCCACACCGUAAACGCUGUCUACUAGCUGUGUGUGUCUUUAAGACGUGCGUAGCGAAGCUAACGCGCUAAGU